rnacentral:lncRNA from 10 species
GGCUGGAGUGCAGUGGCAACAUCUUGGCUCAUUGCAACCUCUACCUCCCAGGCUCAAGCGAAUCCUCCUACCCCAGCCUCCCGAGUAGCUGGGAUUACAGGCCAGUGCCACCACACCCAGCUAAUUUUUGUAUUUUUAGUAGAGAUGGGUGAUUUGAUUUGGCUGUGUCUCCACCUAAAUCUCAUCUUGAAUUGUAGUUCCCAUAAUCUCCACAUGUCGUGGGAGGGACCUGGUUGGAGGUUAUUGAAUCAUGGCGAUGGUUACCCUCAUGCUGUUCUCAUGAUAGUGAGUUCUCAUGAGAUCUGAUGGGACACUUCUCCUUCCUGCUGCCUUGUGAAGAAGGUGCCUUGCUUCUCUCUCACUUUCUGCCAUAAUUGUAAGUUUCCUGAGGCCUCCCCAGCCAUGCAGAACUGUGAGUCAAUUGAACUUCUUUCCUUUAUAAAUUAUGCAGUCUCAAAUAUGUCUUUAUUAACAGUGUGAGAAUGGACUGAUAACAAAGGGGUUUUGCCAUGUUGUUCAGGGUGGUCUCGAACUCUAGAGCUCAAGUGAUUUACCUGCCUUGGCCUCCCAAAGUGCUGGGAUUACAGGCGUGGGCCACUGGGCCUAGCUUGUCUUAUUAUUCUUAAUCAUUUUUUUUAAAAAGGAAAAUUAUCGGUAAGGCUAAAGUCCCUUUGAACACCAUUCUGUCUCUUAACAUAUCACCCCAACACUUAGUUGCUUAAAAUGACAAUCAUUUAUCCAUGAGUCUACAGGUUGGAUGGGUAGUUCAACUGAUUUGGGCUGACCUUGCUCAGCAAGCUGGAUGCCUGUGGUGUAGUUGGUCUGAUGGCCUGGACUGGAAUGACUUUGCUUUCCUGCUGUUAUCUUUCAUAUCCUUCCAUUAGGGUAUUCUGGGAAUAUUCUCAUCAUGUGAGUCCAAGAAACAUUCAAGCACUUUUUGAAGACCCUUCUUGCGUCAAUUUUGCCUCUGUCCAUUGGCCAAAGCAAGUCACAUGGUUAAGUACAGAGUUAGUGUGCAGUGAUACUACUAAAAGGCACAGAUAGAGGGAGGCGUGAAACUUUGGGGCCACUAAUGUAGUCAGUCUACCAUUGUGCACUUUUGGCCACAACUAACCAUAUCCCUCCCAUAUGCAAAAUAUGCUCACCCCCAUUCUAGGAUCCCCAAAAGGUUAUCCAAUCACAUCAUUAUGUUUGAAGCCUAGGAUCUCAUGAUCUAUAUCAGCUCUGCUUGUGGCUCCUUGGAUGAAAUUUCUCUUGAUCUGGGGACCUAUGAACUAAAAAGAUAAUUUAUCUCCUCCUCCCAACAUACAGUGGUAAGACAGGGACAGGAAAAUUGCAAUAGGUACUCCUACUCAAAAGAGUGGGAGGCACAUUGCAUCACUGUCGGUAGCAAUUCUACAAUCCAGCUUGGAAAACAUUGUCAGGUUCCCCUGUUUUGGGAAGAACUUCACUUGCAGAUACCCCUUACCACAGGGGUGGUGAAUAUCCCUUGAUUAACACCCAAUUCUGCUCACUCAGAGUGGCUUUCUUUUCUUUUCUUUUCUUUUUUUUUUUUGAAAGAGGGCUUCUGGUUUCUAUGAAGUUUUCAAAUCCACUAUUUUCCAAGGCCCUUGGCUUCACCCUUUGAGGUGUCCUCCUUUUUCCAUUAUCCUCCUUGGCCACUUCUGAAGACAAGAUGUGCCCUUUAAGCAAUGUCCUUCUCAGCCUUCUUCCUGUCCACAGACCUUUUUUUCAUUUUGAAUAAUUUCUACUCAGACUGGGGGCAUUUAUGACAAUGGAACAUCCUCAAAAACAUUGUGGGUUUUCUAGGCUUCUCAUUGCAUUUAAUGCCAUUUGUCAAAAGCCACACCCAUAAUUUUUUGAGAGCUUUCUUUUUUAGACUUAACCACUGCUGCUCUGGGUAUGUCAGACAUGUUUUAAAGACUCCUAGGUUCCCUUUCUUCAGGGACAAGAACUAUAAGGCAAUACCAAGUGUUCAUUCAAGCUUCUGCUUAUGCCAAGUUUUCUAUUGCUCCAUUGGCCAAAGCAAAUACAUAGCUAAGCCCAGUGUUAGUAUGGGCAGGCAGUGCAAGAGGGCAUGGAUUCAGGGAAAUAUGAAAAAUUGAGGCUUUAAUGCAAUCCAUCUAUCAUAAAAGAGAUGCGGUUUUCCUAGGUUGCUCCUGCUGGUCUCCGACUCCUGAGCUCAAGUAAUCCUCCUGCCUCAGCCUCCCAAAGUGCUAGGAUUGCAGGUAAAUGAUGUCUUGCUUGGGAAUAGAACCCUUGGAGCGUGUAGAUGGGAUACCACGGUCUUCCAGCUCCUAUUGCAGGGCUGCUUUGUGUGGGAAAGCUGGUGGCAGAUCAUGGAAAGACGGCCCAUCAUAGAACCAAACACACGUGAUCACAGGCAUGACGCAAAACAAUGAAGCUUGGUACCUUCCUCUCGCCACAGGAUGUUUGCAACUGCAGCAGCAGAGAAUGAGGAAAGCAGGAGUGUGAUGGAGUCAAGGAAAAAGAAGAAAGCAGUGUUAAACCGUCACUGCAGUGAUUCCAUUUAUGAAGAUCCUGGUACCUAGUCCAUCACUUACAGAAUCUAUACCACUCAUUGCCCUAGGAACAGUAUCUUGGGGGAAGCUCUGGACAUGAACAAAUGCUUUCAGGUCUCCAGACCCUUUGAUUCUUAAGUGAAUCUUUGAAAUCAUGCCCUAGGACCACAGAAGCUAAUGGAAUUUCUCACAUUUCAUGGAUGAUCAAGAGUAAGCAACAUCUCUCCCAGAUUUCCUGGACAACCAGCAGGAGAAGUGACUUUCAACUAGGAUUCUCCUAAGAUGACCACGUGAAAUACUUCUGAUUAUCUACUUUGAUGAAAAUGGCUUAGCCUGGAGUCUUUGACCAUGAUUAACACCCAUGUCUAUGAAAUCACACCUGCAGGCCUACCUGGGGAGCAGUGGUUAUGAGGAGAGCACGCUUAGCACACCGAUGGGCUGGACCCCUAGUGUAAAGGCUACCACACUCCCAAUGGUGUGCAUGUGUGCACAGGUCAGGUUCUGGGCCACUGUGGGACAUCACGUGGAUGAAGGGCAGAGGUUCAGGGCAUACAGCAAGUAAAAAGCAGAGCUGGGACUCGACUAUUUGGGUUUCCUUGUGUUCCUGGGCUCUGUCUGCUGUCCAGGGAAUCUCCCUGUCUGUUUCCAGAGUUGUCUAGGUUGCCAGGGAAGGCCUGCUCACCUCUGGGUGCCCUCCAAUUCCAGCUUUAUGCAAAGAGGGAUAUGAGGCUUACCCCUGUCUUCACGGGCUCAUGGUUGGCAGCUGUGGCCCUGGUCAAUUGGUGCCCUCCCUUGCCACCCAACACCUCCCAGCCAGCUCAGUGAGAAGCAUAAACGCGUGUCGACUUACGGGUCUUUCUAGCUGAGUCUUCAAUGAAGAGCGAGGAGAUAUCUUCAUCCACACCCACUUCAUUUUUGGCAAUGCAGGUGUAUGCCCCUGUGUCUUCAUACCGAACACUGCUGAUGUGGAGUUCGCUCCCAUUGGCUGCAGACAGGACAGUGCUCAGGGUGGACUGCUCAGCUGGAGACCCACUCACUUUCCUUUAUGGGGCCAUUGAGAGUGUUAGGGCUGCCCAGCCCCUGGGCAGCCAGCAGCCCUGAUUAUACGCCCAGGAAGGGCUGGCACAUCUGAAAUGCACUGAGGGUGAGCUGGACCUGAGUGACAGCUUCUCAUCAUUGCUGUCAGAAAGCCCCAAAAGAUCUGUGUGAGCCCAGAUAACAGGGAAAUUUGGGAGCCAUCUGUUCACUCCUAACCUGUCUGACUUAUAAACAAAUUAUACCUCUCGUUUCCAUUCCUGGAGUCUCAGCUUGAUUUGAAUGGGAAUAUCGCAUAGACGUCUACCAAGGGCAGUUCUUACCUAAAAGGGAGAGCUGUUUGGACAUCUGAGUUGAGACAUCCACGCCGUUUUUCAGCCAAGUGAUUCUGGGCAUGGGAAUGCCCUCAGCAUG